rnacentral:rRNA from 1 species
AACGAACGCUGGCGGCAUGCCUAACACAUGCAAGUCGAACGAGACCUUCGGGUCUAGUGGCGCACGGGUGCGUAACGCGUGGGAACCUGCCCUUAGGUUCGGAAUAACUCCCCGAAAGGGGUGCUAAUACCGGAUAAUGUCUUCGGAGCAAAGAUUUAUCGCCUAUGGAUGGGCCCGCGUUGGAUUAGCUAGUUGGUAGGGUAAAAGCCUACCAAGGCGACGAUCCAUAGCUGGUCUGAGAGGAUGAUCAGCCACACUGGGACUGAGACACGGCCCAGACUCCUACGGGAGGCAGCAGUGGGGAAUAUUGGACAAUGGGCGAAAGCCUGAUCCAGCAAUGCCGCGUGAGUGAUGAAGGCCUUAGGGUUGUAAAGCUCUUUUACCCGGGAAGAUAAUGACAGUACCGGGAGAAUAAGCUCCGGCUAACUCCGUG